UCCCUUAUCUCUGCUCAGGAUUACCUCAUCGCAGCAAACCCAGCUCACUCCUGCUCUGCCGAAUGCCAGCAGUGUUUGAACUGCAACUUCCCAACCAGAGGAAGGAUUUCUCCAGUGCUGUUCCAUCAGAGCUCUGAUCUCUCCCUCGUACAACAGACACACGGCUCUUUUUCCUUAUAGAUCAGCUCUUUGCUCUCCAUGCAAACCGGAUCGUUCCCUUUGCUCCUUGCAAGGAUUUCACGUGCACUGCAAACUGCAAAAGUGCUGUGCACACACACACACACAAUCCCACCCCCAACCCCUACUCCACCUGCAAGACAAAAAAACUCUGCCCUAAAACAAAGAGAGCUGCCAUUCACUUUUUGGCUCAUAGCACCUCAUCCUCAAGAACAGCACCACUGCAAGCCAGUGCCGUCUAUUGGCUGCAGCGUAAAUAUUUACACCCCUUUGCAAACACACACAUACACACACACACAGAUACAUUUCCAACACACACCGCAAACAGAAGCAGAAGGUGAAGCUCUUCGCAGCUCUGCUGGGCGGCAGCAGGAGGCGGUGCAGGACUUUUCCGUUUGGAGGUGAUUAACGGAGAGGAACUUAAAAGCGGCCGGGAGGUUCGGGGAGAGCGUUUUGUCGGAGGAGCGAAGCAGAGAAGGAACAAAAGCCACGGGAGCGGUGCUGAAUAGGUGUCCUCCUAAUUGUCGGGAA